UAAUCUAAGUUGUGGGCCCAAUUUGGUUAUGCCUCCUCUCUUCUCAGCAACAGCAAUUUCUACCACCCCCCAGCUUCCACUCUUUGACCCCUAACCUGCAGACCAAACUUUCCAUUUAUUAUUUUCAAUUUAAUCUCCUCUUUUCCCCUUCCUAAUCUUACCUACUAACCACACUCGACAGCUAUAUAUUUAUUAAUAUCACUGAUUAUUAGCUUCACAAUGCGUAGGUUGCUAUGCUUUAAUCACUAAACAUGCCACCCGUUAGUGUUAUUAUUGUUGUUAUCAUUUAUUAUUAUUAUUAUCUUCAAGCAAAGACUAACAAAAAUUUGAGGUUGGAAUUUUUAUUUUUUUUAAGAAAGAACACUUAUCAAUUUAUAAUCCAAAAUACCCAAAAGAAGUUGUCAGCUUUGGAGAGUUAAAACCUUAAGUUUUGCAGGUAGAAUCACUCUUAUCCAGUCUGUUUUUUCAAGCACUCCCUAAUUUGACUAUGCUCUUUGGGUUAAUUAAGGUUUUACGUUGAAAAUAUAGAUGUGGGAAUGAAGUCAUCCCAGAGGUUAGGAAGCAUGUGAACUAAUCUGUAGUGUGGAGAAGCCGGAUAUUAUGAGAAGUACACAUUGAGUAAUUGGUAAUGGUAAAACAGUUUCCUUUUGGAAUCAAUGCCAAUUCCAAGGGAGCUUAGAUUUCAGAAGGUUGAAUCUUCCCCAAAGCUGUAUCUCGGAGAUUGCUUCAUUCCCUCCUCCUUCUGUAUUAAACUCACGAGAUUUUCCUUCCUGGGGGCUUACACCCUUUACCACUAAAUCAGCUUUUAUUUUUAUUUUAGGGGAUCAGCAUAUUCGUGGACAGUCCCAGUGGAAGAUGUUCUGGAUUGUUGCAAAGGGUUUACUUCAAAUAAUCUUUGUAGCAUAUGUGGAUCUCAUGCAGAAACUACUGAGGUGCAUUUGCUGAGGGAUUGUUCCUUUGCUACUAAGCUUUGGAAUUAUCUCACUAAGGGGAGAUUGCCUCGUGACUUCUUCUCAGCUCUUCAUGUGGCUUGGCAGAGGAAUGUGUCAAAGUUGUGGAUUGAAACAGAUUCAGCAAUGAGUCUUGAUCUGAUUUCAAAACCUCUAUUAGCAACUCAUCAUUACGCACCUUUGUUGCGAAGAAUACAACAGUUCCAACAAAAACAGUGGCACUUGAGGAUCACUCACACGUAUAGAGAAGGUAAUUGUGUUGCGGAUUGACUUGCAAGAUUAGGACACACUCUCCCAAUGGGUUUUCACUGGUUGGAUCAGCCUCCAAAGAAAGUUUAUUAUUUAUUGUUGACUGAUCUUGUAGGUAUUUAUUUUUGCGUAAAGUGUGGUUGUAAUUUGGCUUAGGCCCUUAUAUCCAAAAAAAGAAGAAAAAAUUUGGAAUGUUUUA